GGCUAUUAUGAGUUAUUUAUAGUCUAGCCUGCUCACUGAUAAAUUUUAUUAAAUAGCCGCGGUAUCUUGACCGUGCAAAGGUAGCAUAAUCAUUAGUUUCUUAAUUGGAAACUUGUAUGAAUGGUUGGACAAAAAAGAAACUGUCUCUUGUAUUACUAUUGAAUUUAACUUUUAAGUGAAAAGGCUUAAAUUAUCUAGAGGGACGACAAGACCCUAUAAAGCUUUAUAAAUUUGAUAAUUUUUUAAAUUUAUAUAUAAAAAUAAUUUUUGUAAAAUUUAUUUGGUUGGGGCGACAAUGGUAUAAUUAAGAUAACUGCUAUAAGAUUUAACAAAAAUAUUUGUUUAAUAAAUAUAAUUGAUCCUUUUUAAAGAUUUAAGAUCAAGUUACUUUAGGGAUAACAGCGUUAUUUUUCCUGAGAGUUCUUAUCAAAGGAAGAGUUUGCGACCUCGAUGUUGAAUUAAAAUGUCUUUAUAGUGCAGCAGCUAUAAAAGAAGGUCUGUUCGACCUUUAAUAUUUUACAUGAUUUGAGUUCAGACCGGCGAGAGCCAGGUCGG
rnacentral:rRNA from 1 species